rnacentral:tRNA from 1 species
GGGGACGUAGCUCAGUUGGAGAGCGCCGCCUUUGCAAGGCGGAUGUCAGGGGUUCGAGUCCCCUCGUCUCCA